rnacentral:rRNA from 1 species
GAUGAACGCUGGCGGCGUGCCUAACACAUGCAAGUCGAGCGAACAGACGAGGAGUUUGCUCCUCAGACGAUUGCGGCGGACGGGUGAGUAACAUGUGGAUUAUGUACCUAUCUUACUGGGAUAACUUCGGGAAACGGGAGCUAAUACCGGAGAACAUAUUUAUCCGUACGGUUCAAUAGUGAAAGACGGUUUUGCGGUCACCUAUAGAUGUAUCCGCGCCGCAUUAGCUAGUUGGUAGGGUAACGGCUUACCAAGGCGACGAUGCGUAGCCGACGUGGGAGGGGGAUCGGCCACCCUGGAACUGGGACACGGUCCAGAGUCCUGCGGGAGGCAGCAGUAGGGAAUCUUCCGCAAUGGGGGAGAGCCUGGCGGAGCAGCGGCGCGUGAGUGAUGGCGGUCUUCGGAGCGUGAAACUCUGUUAUUAGGGAAAAACAACUGUGUAAGGAGCUAUGCACGUCUUGACGGUACCUGAUCAGAAAGCCACGGCUAACUACGUG